GAUUAACGCUGGCGGCGUGCAUAACACAUGCAAGUCGAACGAUGAAACUUAAAUGAACUCUUCGGAGUGAUUUUAAGUGGAUUAGUGGCGGACGGGUGAGUAACGCGUGAGUAACCUGCCUUAGAGAAGGGGAUAGCCUUUGGAAACGAAGAAUAAUACCCUAUAACACCAACACCUCGCAUGAAGAGUUGGUCAAAGAUUUAUCGCUCUAAGAUGGACUUGCGUCUGAUUAGUUAGUUGGUGAGGUAACGGCCCACCAAGACAGCGAUCAGUAGCCGGCUUGAGAGAGUGUACGGCCACAUUGGGACUGAGACACGGCCCAGACUCCUACGGGAGGCAGCAGUGGGGAAUUUUGCACAAUGGGGGAAACCCUGAUGCAGCGACGCCGCGUGAUUUAGAAGGCCUUCGGGUUGUAAAAAUCUUUUCUAUGGGAAGAAAAU
rnacentral:rRNA from 1 species